AUAAAGGAAAGAGUUCAGUUUAGGAUUUAAAACUCUAAUGUUGACUAAAGGGAAGAGUUCAGUUUAGGGUUUAAAACCCUAAUGCUGACUUAAAUGAAAAGAGUUCAGUUUAGGGUUUAAAACCCUAAUGCUGACUUAAAUGAAAAGAGUUCAGUUUAGGGUUUAAAACCCUAAUGCUGACUAAAUGGAAAAGUUCAGUUUAGGGUUUAAAACCCUAAUGCUGACUAAAUGAAAAAAGUUCAGUUUAGGGUUUAAAACCCUAAUGCUGACUGAAGGAAAAAGUUCAGUUUAGAGUUUAAAAUCCUAAUGCUGACUGAAGGAAAGAGUUCAGUUUAGGGUUUAAAACCCUAAUGCUGACUAAAGGAAAAAGUUCAGUUUAGAGUUUAAAACCCUAAUGCUAACUGAAUGGAAAAAGUUUAGUUUAGGGUUUAAAACCCUAAUGCUGACUAAAGGAAAAGAGUUCACUUUAGGGUUUAAAACCCUAAUGCUGACUAAAGGAAAAAGUUCAGUUUAGGGUUUAAAAUCCUAAUGCUGACUAAAGGAAAAGAGUUCAGUUUAGGGUUUAAAAUCCUAAUGCUGACUGAAGGAAAGAGUUCAGUUUAAAACCCUAAUGCUAACUGAAUGGAAAAAGUUCAGUUUAGGGUUUAAAACCCUAAUGCUGACUAAAGGAAAAGAGUUCACUUUAGGGUUUAAAAACCUAAUGCUGACUAAAGGAAAAGAGUUCAGUUUAGG
rnacentral:lncRNA from 1 species